CAGUAGCCGCGGUAAUACGAAGGGGGCUAGCGUUGCUCGGAAUGACUGGGCGUAAAGGGCGCGUAGGCGGUUUUGACAGUCAGAUGUGAAAUUCCUGGGCUUAACCUGGGGGCUGCAUUUGAGACGUCAAGACUAGAGUGUGAGAGAGGGUUGUGGAAUUCCCAGUGUAGAGGUGAAAUUCGUAGAUAUUGGGAAGAACACCGGUGGCGAAGGCGGCAACCUGGCUCAUUACUGACGCUGAGGCGCGAAAGCGUGGGGAGCAAACAGGAUUAGAGACCCCAGUAGUCCCUGUCUCUUAUAA
rnacentral:rRNA from 1 species